GUGGCUCAGCAGGACCCUGGAGCUGCAGAGAUGCCCCAGAGUUUCGCAUUGCUGUGCCAUACGGUUUCCCUGCAAGCAACUCUGGUACUGGAGCUGUUGGACAAAUACGUGCAAAGGGUAAAUGAAGGCGCGUGCUUGCUCCCGGGUCAGCUCACUUCAUCUUCACCCUGCUGGGGUACAGAGCGACUUCCACGCUCGGUGUUCUCAGGCAGCCGGGUGGUUCACAAGGGAACGGCUCCUCAUGGAUCCUCACGGCUCCUCACGGCUCCUCACGGCUCCCGGGGGCUUCCCGGGGCUGCAGGAGGAACCAGCCCUUGCCUCAGCCUCCCGAGCCCUGCCAGCACCCAGCGACCGGCAGCCCGACCCCACUUUUUAUUCCCUUUUCAAAACCACCACGGCGAUGUAAAAGCUCAGAUCACAGCCAGGAUGCUCCGGCUCGUGGGCAGCACUGCCAGUGCCGUUGGCUCUCAGGGAGCGGGGUGACUGCUGGACGGGGAGCUGGGCGGGGGUCCGGGGGUGCCUGGGGCAGGGGCUGCCCUGCCGCGGCCGUUCCCUCCCCGGGCAGGCACCGCUCGCUGCGUUUCGGCAAUUAAACGAAGCUCAGCCCUGGCUCCUGAGAGCUUCUUGUGCUGAACAAUAGGCAGCUACACAAGGAUUUGGGAAAUGAUGAAGAGAAUGCUUGAAGGUUGUAUUUGGAAGGAAUGAGGGGGCUCCCAGGCUGCAGAAAUUGCUUGUGUGCACAAUACAGACAUUCACACUUUUCCAUCAGCCCCAAACCGGAGUGUUUUAAGGACAGAUGAGAGGCCUCGAGAUUUUCUGUCUUCCUCGAGAGCAGGCAGGAGCCCCAGCACCACGCCCUCGUGGGAGAACUUCGUUAAUGUUGGGUGGGGAAAUGCUGGGAGGGGGCGACAGGGAGAAAACUGCACCGGGAAUAGUUAUUUACUGUUAAAUUUAAAAGGGGCUACUUCAAAACGACAUUUUUAUCCGAUUGUUUUAAUGCUCCUGUCUAUUUUUAUUCCAAGCUGUUUCACAGUGCAGGAAUUGCUGAAAAUUCUAAAAAUAACUGAUACCAGCAGUAAACAAAUUUUACUGGGGAGUUCUGUCAUUUAAAUGCAACUUAAAAUUUCAUAAGUAUUUUUUUUAAAAUUAUAAAAU
rnacentral:lncRNA from 1 species